GGGAAGUCGCCUGGGCACACACGUGCCGCCUCCGUCGGGGCCGCGGAGCUGCGGGGGAGAUGCGGGCAGCCGGCGCCGCCUCGGGGGGCUCCGCCUNGCCCCA
rnacentral:misc_RNA from 1 species